AUUGUUGUUCAGAAAGAUUUAACUGGAUUAUGGUCAGUAAAUCUGAAUGGAAAAGUGAAUGGGGCAGUGGAAACCUGUGGUGAAAGCUUCCACCGAUUUGAUAAGUACCUAAACUUCACAAAUCCUCAUAUUGCAAGAAACUUUGAUCCAAAUGCUUGUGGGUGGGCAUAUGGGAUGAAUAUUUUUGAUCUUAAGGAAUGGAAAAAGAGGGAUAUCACAGGAAUAUAUCACAAGUGGCAAAACAUGAAUGAAGAUAGGGUACUUUGGAAGCUCGGAACAUUGCCUCCAGGUCUGAUUACUUUUUAUGGUCUGACACAUCCAC
rnacentral:misc_RNA from 1 species